rnacentral:misc_RNA from 1 species
GAUGAAGAACGUAGCGAAAUGCGAUAAGUAAUGUGAAUUGCAGAAUUCAGUGAAUCAUCGAAUCUUUGAACGCACAUUGCGCCCCCUGGUAUUCCGGGGGGCAUGCCUGUUCGAGCGUCAUUUCACCACUCAAGCCUCGCUUGGUAUUGGGCAACGCGGUCCGCCGCGUGCCUCAAAUCGACCGGCUGGGUCUUCUGUCCCCUAAGCGUUGUGGAAACUAUUCGCUAAAGGGUGUUCGGGAGGCUACGCCGUAAAACAACCCCAUUUCUAAGGUUGACCUCGGGUCAGGUAGGGAUACCCGCUGAACUUAAGCAUAUCAAUAAGCGGAGGA